UACGAAGGGGGCUAGCGUUGCUCGGAAUCACUGGGCGUAAAGCGCACGUAGGCGACUUUUUAAGUCAGAGGUGAAAUCCUGGAGCUCAACUCCAGAACUGCCUUUGAUACUGGAGAGCUUGAGUCCGGGAGAGGUGAGUGGAACUGCGAGUGUAGAGGUGAAAUUCGUAGAUAUUCGCAAGAACACCAGUGGCGAAGGCGGCUCACUGGCCCGGUACUGACGCUGAGGCACGAAAGCGUGGGGAGCAAACAGG
rnacentral:rRNA from 1 species